AUUGAACGCUGGCGGAAUGCUUUACACAUGCAAGUCGAACGGUAGAGGGGGCAACCCCUCGAGAGUGGCGAACGGGUGAGUAAUAUAUCGGAACGUGCCCAGUCGUGGGGGAUAACGUAGCGAAAGUUACGCUAAUACCGCAUACGCCCUGAGGGGGAAAGUGGGGGACCGCAAGGCCUCACGUUAUUGGAGCAGCCGAUGGCUGAUUAGCUAGUUGGUAGGGUAAAGGCCUACCAAGGCAACGAUCAGUAGCGGGUCUUAGAGGACGAUCCGCCACAAUGGAACUGAGGCACGGUCCAGACUCCUACGGGAGGCAGCAGUGGGGAAUCUUGGACAAUGGGCGAAAGCCUGAUCCAGCGAUGCCGCGUGCGUGAAGAAGGCCUUCGGGUUGUAAAGCGCUUUUGUCGGGGAGGAAAUCCUAGUAUCUAAUAAAUGCUGGGGAUGACAGUACCCGAAGAAUAAGGACCGGCUAACUACGUGCCAGCAGCCGCAGUAA
rnacentral:rRNA from 1 species